AUCGCUUCUCGGCCUUUUGGCUAAGAUCAAGUGUAGGAAGAUGUAGAUAUAUAAAAUGCAACUGUGGCCUUUCAUUUUUAUCUAUUGCUCAUAUGGGAAAUUGAGGCCUAUUUGUUAUGGAAUUUGUAUAAAACCCAAGAGGAAAUUAAUGGCAUGGCUGUAACAGAUUAUUUUAACACUAUUUUUGACGUCUCUUAGGGAAAUUACUCAGCUGGCUUAAAUAUCUUCCACUUUUACAGUCUUUUCCAAUCCAUUUAUACCUGAGGCAAUCCAAC
rnacentral:snRNA from 1 species